GGUGAGAGUACGUGGGAACAUACUACCAUUCUACUACAAUAACUCUCGGGAACUUGUGUGCUACCCCAUGUGCCCCCCCCUUUAAAAUUUCAGGAAUCAUAAAAUGCCCUGGCAUUUUAUGGGGGGGAAAGAUUUAUCGGGCAAUGAUCGGCCCGCAUUGGAUUAUGGACUGGGAGGGGUAAAGGCCUACCUGGGACUGAAUCCCUGCCUGGACUCCUAGGGUGAGCAGCCACGGGGAAUAUGAGACACGGGGCACACUCCUGAGGCAGGCAUGCGUGGGGAAUGUUGAACGAUGGGCGGUUGCCUGAUCCUUUCAUGCCGCGUGAUAAUGACGGGCCCUAGGGUUGAAAAGCUCUUUCACUUCUGGCCAUAAUGCCCGUAACCGGAGAAGGGGCCCCGGUUAUUUUCAUUUACUGGGCCUAAAUAAUACGUAGGGGGCUUAUUUUGUUCGGAUUUAAAGCCCGGGGCUCACCCCCGGGCCUGCUUUUGAUACUGGGGUGAAUGCCCGGGGCUCAACCGAGUGACUGUCUUAGAGACUGGGUGACAUGAGUAUAGAUUAGGAGAAUGACCUUUGGAGUGUGCAGGUCACUGUCCCAUUACUGACGAUGAAGUGCGAAGGCGAGGGGAGCUCACUGGAUUAUUUCUCCUGCUAAUCCGCGCCAUCGAGGAGAAAAGACAGGAUUAGAUACCCUGACUCUCCACGCCGGAAACUAACACAGUAAACAUUCCGCCUGUUGACUCUUGUCGCGAGAUUCUAACUCAUUAGACAUGACGGCUGCCGACUACAGCCGCGAAAUAUGUGCUCAAAUUAAUUGACAGGCGCACACACUUACGAGUGGCUUGUGAUCUCUUAUCUCGGAAUCAACGAGACACAACCUUUAUCAGCUCUUGAGAUUCCGGAUAGCAGGUGCUGGGAGACUCUCUCCUCUCGUCGUCUGGAGAUGUAGAGAUGAUGCCGCACGACUAGUCGUCACCCUCCUGCUCGUAGAUGGCUAGCGAUUCAGUCGCGCACUCAACGAGACCUCCGCGCUGUAUAUGCCAAGCAGUACGGUUGGGCACGACUUACGAGUACUGCUGUCAUACCGGAUGGAUGCUCGGGUGCACUAGGUGCUGACGACGUACGACUGCCUAACGCUGUGAGAGUCUAUCAUCGAUGAC
rnacentral:rRNA from 1 species